rnacentral:rRNA from 1 species
UGCGCAGGCGGAAUAUUAAGUCAGUGGUGAAAGCCUACAGCUCAACUGUAGAACUGCCAUUGAUACUGAUCUUCUUGAGUAUAGUUGUAGUGGGCGGAAUAUAUCAUGUAGCGGUGAAAUGCUUAGAUAUGAUAUAGAACACCGAUCGCGAAGGCAGCUCACUAAACUAUAACUGACGCUCAGGCACGAAAGCGUGGGGAGCGAACAGGAUUAGAUACCCUGGUAGUCC